rnacentral:rRNA from 1 species
CAGUCGCCGCGGGAAUACGAAGGGUGCAAGCGUUACUCGGAAUUACUGGGCGUAAAGCGUGCGUAGGUGGUGGUUUAAGUCCGUUGUGAAAGCCCUAGGCUCAACCUGGGAAUUGCAGUGGAUACUGGAUCGCUAGAGUGUGGUAGAGGAUAGUGGAAUUUCCGGUGUAGCAGUGAAAUGCGUAGAGAUCGGAAGGAACAUCUGUGGCGAAGGCGACUAUCUGGGCCAACACUGACACUGAGGCACGAAAGCGUGGGGAGCAAACAGGAUUAGAUACUCCAGUAGUCCCUGUCUCUUAUAC